GAUGAACGCUGGCGGCGUGCCUAAUACAUGCAAGUCGAGCGAACGGACGAGAAGCUUGCUUCUCUGAUGUUAGCGGCGGACGGGUGAGUAACACGUGGAUAACCUACCUAUAAUACUGGGAUAACUUCGGGAAACCGUAGCUAAUACCGGAUAAUAUUUUGAACCGCAUGGUUCAAAAGUGAAAGACGGUCUUGCUGUCACUUAUAGAUGGAUCCGCGCUGCAUUAGCUAGUUGGUAAGGUAACGGCUUACCAAGGCAACGAUGCAUAGCCGACCUGAGAGGGUGAUCGGCCACACUGGAACUGAGACACGGUCCAGACUCCUACGGGAGGCAGCAGUAGGGAAUCUUCCGCAAUGGGCGCAAGCCUGACGGAGCAACGCCGCGUGAGUGAUGAAGGUCUUCGGAUCGUAAAACUCUGUUAUUAGGGAAGAACAUAUGUGUAAGUAACUGUGCACAUCUUGACGGUACCUAAUCAGAAAGCAACGGCUAACUACGUG
rnacentral:rRNA from 1 species